CUCUCCCUCCCUCCCUCUCGCUCGCUCGCUCGCUCGCUCAAAGCUAGUUCUUAGCAAUACUUUGUUGCUAUCACGACUGCAGAAUCAAGCAAGAUCAUUCAAUCGAAAUCAUUCUCUUCGUCUCUAUCAGAUUUGUUUGAACAGAGAGCUAAGGACACUUUCUAUCUAGUGAAUGGGAGGCUACUAGAAUUGAAGCAUUGCACUGGAUUUUUAACCUCUUCUGAACAGACAUCGUACUGAGGUAAUCUGGAACUUGUUUGCAUGGUUGGAUGUAAUCAUUUUUCAGGGAGGGCUGAAGGAAGCACCAUCAAAGGAAAGCACUUUCACUUGGACAAAUAAUCAGGAUCCAGGUACUAAGAUAUGCGCCAAAUUAGAUAGAGUACUUUAUAAUUCUGUUUUUUAUUUCCUUUAUGUUUCCUCAAGCAUAUGUCAAUAUUCAAUUCCCAUUUUCGGU